CGUAUGUUUCAGGCCUGGGAAGUGGGCCACUAGAGCUACGGCCGUCCACCUGCGACGGACCGAGCCGUGGACCAGAAUCGGGGAAGUCUGUAUGAUCCGUGGCUUAGAACUUUUGAUUUCCGUUCGAGGACGACAGGCGCGGCUUGAAUGCAAGCCCUGUGUCGUCUACCCAGCGCCGCAGCCAUUUCCGUGAAGAGCGAUAGAGGGAGAGAGGGGAAGAACAAGCGACCGGCGCGCCAUGGAGUUCCUCACGCAGCCAAUCCGCAGAUCCACUAUGAUUGAGGAGGUCGGAGAGAGUCUAGUGCCGGAAGGUUCGCUGGCGGAUGGUACGAGGCGAAUGGGUUCGAGCGGCGACGGGCGGAUCUGCGGUGCGUCAGGAGCGGCGGCAAUUAGCGGCGAAGGGCAAAUCUGCAGAGCGGUUCAAGCGGCAGCAGUAAGAAGGGACAGCUAGCCUCCGGCGUCGGAGCUGUCGACAGGGAAGAUGAAUCCCCAGGCUCCUGGCUGGAAUAAGGGGUGAGGGGAAUAUAAUUUAAAUUUGAACAGUGCUAUGAAGAAUUUCAGGCUAUCUAUGGUCUUGCCUUCUUGCUUGAUUCUUUUGCCGGUAGAAAUCGAUGGUGUGAUAUGAAUUAGUGUGAUUGCUGGUUGGUUUGUACUGUUAAUUUAAUCUAUCAGUCCCGUAGUAAUCCAUGGUGUGAUGUGGAUUACUGUGGAAGGAUGCCUGUUUACAGCUGCUAUGAAAAAAAAUUAAGUAAUCCAAUUUUCAGGUUGUGUACGGUAAUGCAUUUUUGUUUCUGUUUUUUCUGCUGGUAAUCCAUGGUUUGAUAUGAAUUGGUGUGAAUCCUAACUACAUUAAACUCUGAAUUUAAUAUAUCAGUUCCGUAGUUUCUAUGCCGCAGAAGGGGCGGCUGGUGGUGAACUCGACGGGGACCGCAAGCAUCUGAGCAAUCCAUUGGUCAGGGUUACUCGAAAUCUCCUGCAUGGACGCGCAGGCAACCUAUUGGAUUUGGAGCACGCUAAUUUUGUGUAGUGAUAGGAAAACUGAAGACUGGUCCGAAGGUGUUGCAAAGAGCAGCACAAUGGCUCCUUCCGUGCUACCCAGCUCUGCAUUAUCACAGAAUCAGAUUCGGAUGCAAGUUCGAAGCAAGAUCUAUUGACAGCAGAGGUACUUCUUGUGAUAUGGCAUUGCUAGUUUGAACUGUAUGUGAACCGUCCUUCAGUAGACAAUAUUGGCCGUCAUGCAGGGUCAUGAUAGUUUAGAAACAAGCUAGUGUGACCAAGGGGUGGGAUCAGAAAUUGAGUUCAGUUCGUCCUCCGGUGUUUCAGCUGCGCUCGACCAUGUAGGUAGAUCGAUCGUGUAGGCGUGCCUGGAUUAAUCUCGAGAGGAUGUUUUUUUCUUUUGCAGGCCACAGAUCAUGCGUCCGCAGAUGUAGCAGCAAAUGUGGUAGUCGUUUGUGCAGAAGGGGAGAUGCCGGAUUUCCCGCCGAUGGAAGAAUGAUAUGGAGACCACGAGCCAGGAGCUGCUGAGCGACGGUCUGGUUCUUGGGAUGGAUUACAGAUGAAGAACUAAUUUGGUCUCACAUGUAUUUAUCGAGUGGGGCCCAAAUGAAUCGUGGAGGAUAAGAUUGGUUGGUAUUACCUCCAACGGUGUGGAACACAAUAAAUAGGAGAGAUUAUUUUUUGAGGGAUAAUAAAUGGGAGAUGUGAUUGCGUUA